rnacentral:lncRNA from 1 species
CCAUCAUCACCACCACCAUCACCAUCAUCACCGUCACCAUUACCACCACCAUCACCAUCACCACCACCAUCACCCCCACCCCCACCACCAUCACCACCGUCACCACCAUCACCACCAUCACCCCCAUCAUUACCACCAUCACCACCAUCACUAUUACCACCACCAGCAACAUCAGUCAUCACCACAGCCCACUGUUACUACCACCAUUACCACCACCACCACCAUCACCACCAUCAUUACCACCAACAUCACCACCGUCAUCAUCACUACCAUCACCGUCACCAUCAUUACCAUCACCACCAUUACAACCACUAUUAUCGCCACCAUCACCACCAACAAAAUCAAUACCAACCUCACCAUCACCACCAUUAUCAUCGUUACCAGCACCAUCAUUAUUACUUUGCAGAACCACAGACUGUCAGGGUAGGAAGAGUCC